rnacentral:rRNA from 1 species
UACGUAGGGUGCAGGCGUUAAUCGGAAUUACUGGGCGUAAAGCGCGUGUAGGCGGCUCUGCAAGUCGGAUGUGAAAUCCCACGGCUCAACCAUGGAAGUGCAUUCGAAACUGCAGGGCUAGAGUUCUGGAGAGGAAGGUGGAAUGCUUGGUGUAGAGGUGAAAUUCGUAGAUAUCAAGCGGAACACCGGUGGCGAAGGCGGCCUUCUGGGACAGUAACUGACGCUGAGACGCGAAAGCGUGGGGAGCAAACAGG